AGGCACUCUGAGAAGAGCCAUUCUGAUGUGAUCUCACAGGAGAAUUAACAGAAUGGAUUGCCCUACUGGAGGUCAAGCAGCUAUCUGGAUCGUGGUGGUGGUGGUGGUGAACCCAGGCUCCUAGUGUUGCAGCAGAAGCAGGAGGCAUUCAAGGGCCAGGAUUUCAACGGAUGUUACGAGCUGUGACAGUGAGUGAGCCAGCUGAAAUGCUAAAUAAACUUUACAGCAUUUGUAGAAAAAGAUACUGAAAUGAUAGCCCAUAAGUCUUCUCAGGAAGAAGUUGAGUGUGAGAGUUUUCUGCUGGGAGCAGUAAACAUGACUACUACCAGAACACACCUCCUGACAGUACUAAGAGUUCUGCAGCAACCUGGUGGCCUGAAACAUGUUGGAAACCUUUGUUCUUCAGCAAGUGCAAUGGCAGCUGUGGUAAAAAAUACUGUGGUAAAACAUCUGUGCUGGCAAGCUUCAAGGUUGGUUUGUCUGAGCUCUGGGAUAUCCUGUCUACAGCCUGGCUCACAGGAUGAAACUCCUGACAUCUAACUUGAUGUGUGAGCCUACUGCCACAUCAGACACCCUGCAUUAUCCUCCAGGAUACCAAAUCAGGACAUCUUCUAGGCCAUGUGUCCCUUUUGUGAGCUCUGCAAUAAUGACUCAGAGACAUAAUGGUGUCUCAGGUGGAACUAGGUGCCUAUGUCUCACCUGUGCUGUCUUUACUUCCAUGGUGGCAGAUACCACCUUGAACCCAGCUGGAGAAAGCAGAAACCUUACUUUUGGACACUAGAUCUGUUUCAGGUAUGCUUUUUCUGAGAAAUACUGGAAAUAUUUUUAACAGUAUAUAUAGCAAACAUUCUGAAAGAGGGUGGUAGAAUACUGACGGAGAGAAGCUGUUGUUAAUCCAUAGCAACACAGAUGAUUAAGCAUUAAAAAUUUGGUGUGUGUGAUGCUUUUUGAAAUUUUUGUGAUUCCAUUCAGAUAAUUUCAAAUCUGAUUUCAAAUCUGAUCCAGGUCUGAGCCUUGUGCCAGCUUUCUUCAAAUACAAUUUUUAAAUAAUUCAAAACCUAUUUUAACUCAUAAAUAAAUAAAUAAUUCAGCAACAAAUUAUAAGAAAAUUCAGUUGCACCUAAAUAACGUCUGGUAUUUCUGAGCCUGGAUUUUUCAUGCAGAAGAGAGAUUGUUUUUCUUCUUUUCAGUACAAAGCUCGUCACAUCCAUACGUAUGGUAGCUCCAUAACUUAUUUCCUUUACACCAGUAAUUGUAGACUGGCAGUUGGAUCCUUAGACAAACUCUGAGGCCAAAAAGAAGAUUUUUUAAUUCUUGAAAAUAUAGAAAUGAGGUUAACAUAACUCUGCCAGUAGCAAACUUCUGUGUAUAAAUUUUGGGCAGGUAGGUAAAAAUAUAUUUCUGACUUGACAGGUUGUUUCACUGUCUAAAGUAGUAAUUUGGGAAAUGGAAAAAUAUAUUAAUAGGAGUAAAUUUUUCCAUGUUAUAUGCCAAAAGCCUAUUUAAAAAUGGAGCUGAAUCUUUUUAUCUUUACUCUUUUUGGUUUUGUUCCUAUUCUUUUCUCUUUAAUUUCCUCUCUUUCUUCUGAGAAUUGCAGAAUUAUCACAUAUUGUCGUCUGCAUGUUUGUUCAGACUUGUCUGACUGUGAGUAAAACACUGGUCUGAAACUUAAUUGAAGGCUAUAAGGUUUAUAUUGGGCUGGGUGCUGAGCAGCUGCAUGUUAUGCCUGUGUCCCCGAAUCAGAAAAAUAGGGGCAGUGCUUUUUUUUUUUAAAAAAAAAAAAAAAUAAGAACUCAGUGGCAAAGGGGAAAGUUAGCUUUUUCUCAUUUUCUCCCAUUUUCAUAAAAACCUAUGUUCUAGGUGGGAGGACUUUUUCCACCUUGGUUUCUCUCUAUGAAUUGGUUAGAAAAAUUCCUAAGCCACUAAGGAGCUAAUGAACAGUGCACAACUUAUAGAAAGUUAGGAAAACAGCGUGUUAAAGGAACUUCCAGAAUUAUAGUAAUUCAUGGACUCAAACACAUGCAUGUGAAGAACUAGAAAUACAAUAUUGAUCACCAUGCAAAUAUGCUAUGUUUCUCAUCCUUCAGUACCAUAAAAGGGCCAUAAUUAUGAUUUAAUUCUUGCCAUAAUCUGAAUUCUCUGCUUGCAUUUUUAUUGUUAUAUUUUAUUAAAUGUAAAUACAUCAUCC